AUCUGACCACACUCUUCCUAAAGGAUCCUCUUCUGAACCAUCUACUAGAGUAUACAUCUCCUGACAAAUCAAUGGCAGAAUCGAGAGGACAGAUGUUGGGAGGCAAAACGCAAAGCAAAAUAUAGGAACUUACAGAGACCAAGAAACCUGCCCUUCCUUCUUUCAGUGUAAUUUUGCAUUUCUUGGCCAGGAGUGCUUGCUGCAAGCUCUGGGGUAGGGCCUCCUGUGAAGUUAUAGCAUGGUGGGGCUGCUGCACAAGAGCAACACAAGUUGGUCUGGGGAUCAUCAGGAUUGGGCCUUAGCACCAGCAACCUCCAGCAGACUGCAAUGGCUCUGCCUUUAAUACACUUCCACCCCUGUGUGUUAUACAGCCGUAAUACUGAACACACAAGGCAGACAGCUGCCCUGAGGCAUUCUCCGUAAAAACUUUCAUAUCACAACGGAACUGAACGUACCAUUAUAACACCACGUCUCCUCUUC